CUGGGAUGUGAUGGGGAGCGAAAUUUAGUAGCGAAGUAGCUGAUUUCACACUGUCAAGAAAAGUCUCUAUCGAGGUUAAAGGUACCCGUACCGCAAACCGACACAGGUGGGUGAGGAGAGUAUCCUAAGGCCAGCGAGAGAACUGUUGUUAAGGAACUCGGCAAAAUGACCCCGUAACUUAGGGAUAAGGGGUGCCACCAUCAGGUGGCCGCAGAGAAUAGGCCCAAGCGACUGUUUACCAAAAACAUAGGUUUCUGCUAAGUCGCAAGACGAUGUAUAGGAGCUGACGCCUGCCCGGUGCUGGAAGGUUAAGGGGAUCUGUUAGAGCAAUCGAAGCAGUGAACUUAAGCCCCAGUAAACGGCGGCCGUAACUAUAACGGUCCUAAGGUAGCGAAAUUCCUUGUCGGGUAAGUUCCGACCCGCACGAAAGGCGUAACGAUUUGGGCACUGUCUCAACAACAGACUCGGUGAAAUUGUAAUUCCGGUGAAGAUGCCGGAUACCUGCGACAGGACGGAAAGACCCCAUGGAGCUUUACUGUAGCUUGACAUUGGGUCUUGGUACUACAUGUACAGGAUAGGUGGGAGGCUUUGAAACCAGGACGCCAGUUUUGGCGGAGCCAUCCUUGGGAUACCACCCUUGUAGUACUGGGACUCUAACCAUAGGCCAUGAAUCUGGUCUUGGGACACUGUCAGGUGGGCAGUUUGACUGGGGCGGUCGCCUCCCAAAAGG
rnacentral:rRNA from 1 species